AUUGAUACAGGACAGACAAUGCUAAAACUGACACAGCACAAAAAUGAGCAUGGCACCUGCCCAAGGAUGGCAAGCAAAUUUGUGAAUCAUUCCAUAUUUUU
ensembl:snRNA U6 U6 spliceosomal RNA